GCCUGGGUGGCUCAGUCAGUUAAGUGCCUGACUUUGGCUCAGGGCAUGAUCUCACGGUUCGUGGGUUCAAACCCCAUAUUGGGCU
rnacentral:tRNA from 1 species